rnacentral:rRNA from 1 species
GACGAACGCUGGCGGCGUGCUUAACACAUGCAAGUCGAACGGUGAAGCGCCUUCCUUUUUGGUGGGUGUGGAGGAGUGGCGAACGGGUGAGUAACACGUGAGUAACCUGCCCCCUUCUUCUGGAUAACCGCAUGAAAGUGUGGCUAAUACGGGAUAUUCUGGGUCUGUCGCAUGAUGGGUCUGGGGAAGAUAUUGUUUCGGUGGGGGAUGGGCUCGCGGCCUAUCGGGUUGGUGGUGGGGUGAUGGCCUACCAAGGCGGUGACGGGUGGCCGGCCGGAGAGGGUGGACGGUCACGCUGGGACUGCGCCGCCGCCCAGCCUCCUACGGGAGGCAGCAGUGGAGAAUAUGGCACGGUGGGCGCAAGCCUGAUGCAGCGACGCCGCGUGAGGGAUGGAGGCCUGCGGGUUGUGACCCUCUUUCGCCAGUGAAGCAGGCCUGCCUCGUUUGUGGGUGGGUUGACGGUAGCUGGAUAAGAAGCGCCGGCUAACUACGUG